rnacentral:rRNA from 1 species
UACGUAGGUGGCAAGCGUUGUCCGGAAUUACUGGGCGUAAAGCGCGCGUAGGCGGACCUGCAAGUCGGGGGUGAAAGCCCGAGGCUCAACCUCGGAACUGCCUUCGAUACUGCGGGUCUCGAGUCCGGGAGAGGUGAGUGGAAUUCCUAGUGUAGAGGUGAAAUUCGUAGAUAUUAGGAAGAACACCAGUGGCGAAGGCGGCUCACUGGCCCGGUACUGACGCUGAGGCGCGAAAGCGUGGGGAGCAAACAGG